CAAUUCCUCAAAACAAUGGCGGAAAAAACCCCAAGCAUAGAAGCAAUCGACGAGCAAGGAGUUUCAAAAGCUUUCAGCACGGAUAUGCCUUACCUAGAAUUAGAUCGGUGACCGGCGAUACGGGAGCCGCCGAGAGGAAGAUAGUGACGGCGGCGCCAUCACCGUCGGUGACACCACUCGCGACAAUUCGCAGAAGCUAUCCAUCUCCACGAUCGCUUGCUCCGUAGUGCUGGUGGUGGUUGUGUGCUCCAUCUGUCCGGUCCGCUGUAGCCUGAGAAAAACCGUCUUCGCCUCCGUAAUUUUUCUCCUAAUUGCUUCCACAACUGCUCUCGUCAUUUUUCAUUGGCCAUUUGUCACUGACUCGCCAAAUCUAGUAAGACAAUAAAGCCUACAAUCCUAAUAGGAAGUUUAGGAGUUGGAAGAGCAUUUACCCAGGAAGUCAUGUAGAUCAUGGCAUAACUCAACGAGGUGCAGUCCUGUUGAACAUAUAAUAUAUAAUGUAUAAACGUUCAAUCUCACUUUAUAUCUUUGCUAGUGGAAGUCCAUUUCAACCUGUUGAAUAUGAAGGGAAGACAUUUAUGCCACGCCAGGCUAACAAUGCAUGCAUACAUAUACACUAGAUUUGGAUUAGGUCUGAUUAUGUUUGGCACAGCUCGCGCGCAUGAUGACAUGGUUGUCGGGAACGAUCCUCGCAACUAGGUGUAAUUCUAUUUCUGAUCAACAACUUUGUAAUUAGGUCGCGCAUAAUGAACUAAAUCAUUC